UACAGAGGUCUCAAGCGUUGUUCGGAUUCAUUGGGCGUAAAGGGUGCGUAGGUGGCGUCGUAAGUGGGGUGUGAAAUCCCGGGGCUUAACCCCGGGACUGCAUUCCAUACUGCGGUGCUUGAGGACUGGAGAGGAGACUGGAAUUUACGGUGUAGCAGUGAAAUGCGUAGAGAUCCGGAGGAACACCAGAGGCGAAGGCGGCCUACUGGGCUGCACCUGACGCUGAGCCGCGAAAGCCAGGGGAGCGAACGGG
rnacentral:rRNA from 1 species